rnacentral:misc_RNA from 1 species
CGUUUCUAUAUUACUUCUGUUAAGGGAAGCGAAAAGGAACUAGAGGUAGAGGUUUUAAAUUUCAUUUACAGGAUCAUAGUGCAUAGACAUAUUUGGUUUAAAUGUGUUCAUUUGCUUUCGGAUCUACCCUUCUUUUUCAAGGUAAUUAGAUCUUCCAAAAUUAAAUCUAAAAUUUUCCUUUUUAUUGAUUUUGGGUCUGAAUUAAUUAUGGUAUAGCUUUAGUUGAUUUUGUCUAGUGUAAUACAUGUCUACACUGGUUAAUUAUGUUGUUGUUCUCUCUGUUUUCCAGAUUUG